ensembl:lncRNA
UUGAAGCAGAUCAUUAUUAUUAGAUUUCUAAUAUACUUCAGUAUACAUCAUGUACUGUAAGUAUGAGUAUCUCUGUGUUUGAACAGUUUGUUUGCUGCUUGUGUGUGUGUGUGUGUGUGUGUGUGUGUGUGUGUGUGUGUGUGUGUGUGUAUCUGCUCUGCAUGUGCAUAGACUUUGUACCCAGUGACUGAGGCUUGAACGUACACUGUUGAUUUCCAGUGACAGCAAAUCUUCGGUGGCUUUUCAUUUUUACACCAGUUUGUGUUGCUGUUUGCCGUCACUCUGGACGCUGAGAUGGGAAUAAACUGCAGUACUACUCCAAAGACCACAGACUGUCUGUACGACACUGCCAGCCAUGCAGGCCUGGUUCCUGAUGCCUCACUGGAUGCCUCACUGGCCUCUCUGCUGUCCUUGAACUCCUCUUGGGCUCUGGAGCAGCAGUACUCCGCCUUGAAGAGCAGUAUGACCUGGCAGCAGAGGUCUGCCUUCAACCAUGACCUCCACACGCUCUUUGGAGGAAACACCACGGUGAGUUAUGGGGGAGUGGGUGUAAUUGCACUUGCCCUGUCAGUCUUGUUUGAGAUGCUAGCCCAUCACCAGACCACUAGGUUGGGCUCCUGGAGCUCCGAGGUCCGUCCCCCACCUCCGGACCCCAUACGCAGAAUGUUCGGGGCUGACACGGGGUCGAACAUCAGCUCCAUUGCCAGCAUGUUUCUCAAACAGAUUCCUGGUGCAGCCAAUGACCUGGAAAAGAUGGCAGCACUGCUGGAGGACUACGAGAGGAGGCUAAGAUCCGAGCUGACGGAUAUCUAUGGGAGGAUGAUGUUACAGGAGGGGAGCGCUCUCAGCUCUGCCAGGGUGAAACAAUGGAUAAACGGAGCUGCUCUCCACAUCCACACUUUCCUCCACUGGAAGCGUCUGACCAACCCAUCAUCUGAAGAAGUCCUAAGUCUAUAUUACCUGCAACAUGUCGACCCUCUUCUCAUGAUCUACAGAGACUAUCUGCACAAAGUGGUAAAAGUGUUGCCGGCCUUGCUGAUAGUGGAGCCUCUAAGAAACGUGAGCCACGGGGUUCACUAUAAGGUCUGCGAGCGUAGGGCCAUCCAGCGGACUCUGGUGGAGCGCUUCUUGUCAGAGCAGGACCUGCAGAGGGGAAAAGACUUCUUCCAGAACUCCCACAAGCACCACGACGCUCUGAUAGCACAGCAAGGACACUUUCAGCUGGUUUGAGAACAGUUGAGGCUUGACUGGCUAUUAUCGAUGAUCUGGCCCCAAAACUUAAGAAUAAUGUUAUAAUAUAAUAUCAUACGAAAGUCCCUUGUAGCUGCUUUCAAAGGGUACGACGAUUCGUCUCCAACCAGCUAAAUAUUAGUAAUUGGUUUCCAAUCGGUUUUCAUCGGAAAUAAUCAAAGAUGCAAACGAAACCCUUCUGCUGAAAAAAGCGGUAGUCCUAUCAAAGCAUAGCAGCCAUAUCUAGGCACAGCUGGCCUGUCAUGCUAUGGAUUUCUUUACACAACGAAGCAGUGUGCACGGGGCUGUAAGGUAGUAUUCUUUAUAAAAAAGUGAGUUUCAUCUACGUUGAUUGUUUUUGUAGGCUACCCUCACUGUCUUUAUCUGCUCUUAUUAGCUUCAAAUGUUAGCAUCCCCCGCUAACUAACGCACUACUUGUGGUAAUAACUAAGCAUUACAUGGUUUCAGAUGCCACCGUAUGAGAUUGAGGCUAACGUUAGUCACUCUGUCAUGAUUUAUUGAACUUAUACUCCAGCAACCCCAGCAGUUGUGUGAGAUAGAUAGUGUUACGUUCAAUAAACACAUUGGUUAGUCCACGUCCAAAAAAGCCUCUAUUCUUGUAAAUUACAAUGUAAGCAUUGACUCACAAAUACAACUUUGCUUGCUUUUCCAAGUUUGUUAGUGAGGCAACUAGUUUGUGUUUAUGUCUUCCACAUCGAUCAUUAAGAGAGGCGUACUUUCUGCCUGACACAUGCAGCUUUAACAUCAGUGUUGUAACAAAAUGUUACAGUGUGCAUCCAAGAGUAUAUCUAAAACCACUCUCUUAUUUACACACAAAGUGUGCUUCUAGAAAAUGACAUAUAAUGAGAGAGAGGGAUAGCCCUUACCCUUUUUAUUGAUUUAUCCAACAAUUUGCUUUUAAAUUGUUUGUUGUUUUUCAUUCUUGUCGUGUGUCCUAUUACCUUUUUUGCUAGAUUUUGCUUUUUGGUCUUUUUCAUGCUAUUCUUAAUGCUAUUAUGAAGUACUUUAUAACCUCUAUAUCUGUGCUGUAAAUAAUUGUAAUUACCUUUUUGAUGAUGAUGAUAAUAAAGGUUCUGGGCAAUCAAAUCCUACCUUAUCAAAUCUACUUUAUGUGACGAAUUCUAGGGCAGUGUUAGGGUGAUUAUUUAACCUAUAAGCUUUCAUGGGUGAAGGCUCCAGUCAUAAAAAGAUGUGGAACGUGUUUUAGGUUGUAUCCUGUAUAAAUCCUGGGUUCUCAGUGCA